rnacentral:rRNA from 1 species
GGAUUAGAUACCCUGGUAGUCCACGCCGUAAACGAUGUCUACUUGGAGGUUGUGGCCUUGAGCCGUGGCUUUCGGAGCUAACGCGUUAAGUAGACCGCCUGGGGAGUACGGUCGCAAGAUUAAAACUCAAAUGAAUUGACGGGGGCCCGCACAAGCGGUGGAGCAUGUGGUUUAAUUCGAUGCAACGCGAAGAACCUUACCUACUCUUGACAUCCAGAGAAGCCAGUAGAGAUACAGGUGUGCCUUCGGGAGCUCUGAGACAGGUGCUGCAUGGCUGUCGUCAGCUCGUGCCG